CAUGACCUCCUGUCCGGCUGUCCCUCGGUCCGAGCCCCGUGGGUGACACUGGCCGACCUCAGGAAGGGCGCCCCGCCUCACUCCGUCUGAGCCCGCGCGCCGCGUCGAGCCUCUACGUCAUCACGCUGUUCGGGGGGCGGGACUUCCUCCCCACGCCCCGGAAGCGGGGAAGGACUCUUUCCCGCGGUGAAGAAACAGGGCUUGGGAUGGAGGUCAGAUGCCAGAGGGCUGCCUGCGUCUGUCGCGUAGAGUUGCAGGUGAACAUGGCCUUGAGGUAAAUCUUGCCCUUGUUGAAGUUUAGUUUCAGCAGAUGAUUUCUGGCAUUUUGAGGAAUUGGAAUAUUUUACAAGAAACAAAAAUUUUAUUUGCUUCUGUCCUAGACUUAAUUUUUCUUCUUGUAGAAGAGGAGAAACAGUUUAAACAAAAAUUCUUUACGGUAAAUAAUUAUGACGCUUAAAUUAAAUGGAUUUUAAAUGUCAAAGCCACUUGUAGAUGGUUUUAUUCUUGGUCAAAUAAAAUUUUACUAACCCCUA